CACAAACAGAGCUGGGGAGGGCUGCUUAAUGAAGUGUCCAUUAAGGCUAACGGGCACUUCCAUUAGGGUUUGUUCACGUUUCCCUUGACCAAGUUCAACUCACACUUCAUCCAGACAGUGACCCUGCUGGAGAGGCACUCAUUUCAAUUUUACACAAGAGGCCUAGAGACGUCAUGUGGUUUGAUCAAGAUCACACAGUUGCUGCAGCGGUGGAUCAUGAUUUCAAAAUACAAUCAUAAUCACCAUCAGAAGAAAUGCGAGAGAAGAUGAAAAACAAAUGCAAAGCAAUUAAAAAAG